rnacentral:rRNA from 1 species
AUUGAACGCUGGCGGGCAGGCUUAACACAUGCAAGUCGGACGGUAACAGGGAGGAAGCUUGCUUUCUUUGCUGACGAGUGGCGGACGGGUGAGUAAUGCUUGGGAAUCUGUUUUAUGGAGGGGGAUAACUACGGGAAACUGUAGCUAAUACCGCGUAAUAUCGAGAGAUUAAAGUGUGGGACCGUAAGGCCACAUGCCAUAGAGUGAGCCCAAGUGGGAUUAGGUAGUUGGUGGGGUAAAGGCCUACCAAGCCGUCGAUCUCUAGCUGGUCUGAGAGGAUGACCAGCCACACUGGGACUGAGACACGGCCCAGACUCCCACGGGAGGCAGCAGUGGGGAAUAUUGCACAAUGGGCGCAAGCCUGAUGCAGCCAUGCCGCGUGAAUGAAGAAGGCCUUCGGGUUGUAAAGUUCUUUCGGUGGUGAGGAAGGUUGUAAUGUUAAUAGCAUUAUAAUUUGACGUUAGCCACAGAAGAAGCACCGGCUAACUCCGUGCCAGCAGCCGCGGUAAUACGGAGGGUGCGAGCGUUAAUCGGAAUAACUGGGCGUAAAGGGCACGCAGGCGGAUACUUAAGUGAGGUGUGAAAGCCCUGGGCUUAACCUAGGAAUUGCAUUUCAUACUGGGUAUCUAGAGUAUUUUAGGGAGGGGUAGAAUUCCACGUGUAGCGGUGAAAUGCGUAGAGAUGUGGAGGAAUACCGAAGGCGAAGGCAGCCCCUUGGGGGAAUACUGACGCUCAUGUGCGAAAGCGUGGGGAGCAAACAGG